UUGAAUAUUCUGUAAUAUGUUUACAUCACACUGUAAUUCAGAUUAAUACAGGAAUAUGCCAAUUAAUCAGAAUAUUCUUUUCCACAUAAACACAAUAAUUGCGGUGAGUCUGAAAGGAAACUGGCAAGAGGACCCGAGAGAGCCUCCUCUUUCCCGUAAUCUGUGUCUGCUCCUCUCCAUGCUAAUGUCCUACCUUGGACCUCUCCUUUUCAGACUGUCUGGAGCUCUCGUUCCCCUCUCUCUCUUUUUCCCUUUCAUGCUUUGAUGUGGUAUGAGGAUACUAAAGAACAAGGGAAACGCACAUUAAAGGAGAGCGUGAGUGAGUGAGUGUGUAUUUGUGUGUGCAUGUCCAUAUGCGUCUGUGUUAAGCCGCUGAACCUCAAGAGGCACUCUUAUUGAAUCUUAAGCUCAAACUCAGUAGAUCAUCCUCUAUCACACUGGCCGCUCUGGGAUAUCCCAGCAUGCCUUUCACCUUACCUCGAACCCAUAGCCACGAACUACCCUCAUUCCUCUACGGAGGCAAGAGCGCUGGAGAGAUGGAGGGAAAAACACAAUGGUAAGGUAACAAUAGCCUUGAAAUGAGCAGCUUAAGGGCUUAGGCAGCAUUAGAAACAGCACAUUUUCUCCCCAUAAAACUGCACUCCUCUUACAGGACUCCAGCCUCCCGUCCCUGAACAAAAGGGAUUGUUGACUUGUUUAUUUAUUCAUCGGCCCUUUGCUGCACAAAUUCAUCACACGGAGAGGCAGGAAAUCAACAGAGAAAACUCAAGUAGGAGACCUUGCAGAAGAUCAGAGCGGCGAAACGCCUGACAAAUAAGCUGUUUAUUUCUUCAGUGAUUGCUGAGGGGAAAGGAAAAGGACAAAAAGAUGCGGGAGAGCAGGAGUAGCGAAGGACUAACGAGAUAAAGCCUGUCAAAAUACAGGGAAUAUCCCAAAUACUCUUAAAAGAUUUGAAGACAUCUCGAAAGAUGCAGGGUUCAUGGAGAAGUCAAGGGAGGCAGAAGACAAAAGAUGAAACGGAGCUGGCGUCGAGGCAGACUGAACGGCCUCUAUUUAUAUAGGCGGAACACAUCUCUUUUCAGAGAGGGUUUAAGUUUUUUUUUUUUUAGGUUUUUUUUUUUUGUUUUCUCUGUUCUUUUCCUCUUUUUCAAUAACAAUAUGUCUCCUGUCCUCUCUGUUUCCCUCCAGAGAGCUUUGGACCAACAGGAGGAUUAAUCCAAAACUUUGCAGUUUAAGGACAAGAAGAGUCACUCUCUGCUUUCUGUCAGCUGCAUAAAGUCACAUAAAGUGGCACUCCUCAGCUGGAUAAAGAGGUUGUGACAGAGGCUUUGACUGUACCUGCUUGGCUCCUCUGUAAUCCCAUGGAUGAGUGGAACCGCUGGAACAGAGGGAGCCGUGUAGCAUGGAGCGACGCCGGUUUGCAAAUUGUCACACAGACAGACUAAUCCAGCCUUGCUGACAAAUUGGACUUUUGUGUGACCAAUGUUCUGUGUCUUUGUGGGGUGCGUAUGUGUGUGAGAGAGAAAAAGUAUAGAUUUGUGUCAAUUAUUUAAUUAGUCACCAGAAUCAGCAAUAGCUUUUAAUCCAAAUGAUGUAUUUGUGUUAUAACAAUUUAGCAUGA